AGAUUCGAUGUUCGGAUGCUAUUCAUUGACUUUUCGAAGGGUUUCCUGAGAUCAUGAGGUUGAUAAGCAAGUGAAUCAAGGUAACUAGACGUGCAGAAAUUUUCAAGUUUGUGGUUCCUGUUUCUGUAAGAAUUCAAUGCCCCUGAACUCCCAAAUACUGAGAUCGAAAAUGGUAUUUUGUUUUUGAAAUGCAGAAGGUAAUAGAUACAAUGGCAGUAUUUACAUGAUUUUUGGGUAUAUGGACCACAGCUUGACGGGACUUGCUGAUUGUCCUGGAUUGAGAUUUACAAUUCAACAUAUCAAUGUAUGUGACCUUGGACAAGGAGGAUUUACUCAUUAUAAUGAGCAUCCAUCACUUUUUUUUUGUCAACAAAGCAUCCAUCACUCAACUUGUUCUAAUAAUAUGUAUUUGUUGUGUUAUAUGAAGUAGCUGCUUACUGGUCUUCACUACUGUCAUCUCAAUAACGUGCAGAUAUCAAAGGCUCCAGUAUGCUCAUAGAUAUAAGGGAAACCUGAAGCUAGCAGAUUUUGGACUACCAUAAUCAUUCUCCAAUAACCA